rnacentral:tRNA from 1 species
GCCUGGCUGGCUCAGUUGGUAGAGCCUCUGGCUCUUAAUCUCAGGGUCAUGAGUUCAAGCCCCAUGUUGGGCA